CAGUCGCCGCGGUAAUACGUAGGGUGCAAGCGUUAAUCGGAAUUACUGGGCGUAAAGCGUGCGCAGGCGGUUAUAUAAGACAGAUGUGAAAUCCCCGGGCUCAACCUGGGAACUGCAUUUGUGACUGUAUAGCUAGAGUACGGCAGAGGGGGAUGGAAUUCCGCGUGUAGCAGUGAAAUGCGUAGAUAUGCGGAGGAACACCGAUGGCGAAGGCAAUCCCCUGGGCCUGUACUGACGCUCAUGCACGAAAGCGUUGGGAGCAAACAGGAUUAGAUACCCCCGUAGUCCCUGUCUCUUAUAC
rnacentral:rRNA from 1 species